rnacentral:rRNA from 1 species
UACAGAGGGGGCAAGCGUUAUUCGGAAUUAUUGGGCGUAAAGGGCGCGUAGGCGGCUUUGCAAGUGACGGGUGAAAUCCCUCGGCUUAACCGAGGAACUGCCUGUCAAACUGCAUGGCUUGAGACCAGGAGAGGUGAGUGGAAUUCCCAGUGUAGCGGUGAAAUGCGUAGAUAUUGGGAGGAACACCAGUGGCGAAGGCGGCUCUCUGGGACGGUACUGACGCUGAGACGCGAAAGCGUGGGGAGCGAACAGG